rnacentral:tRNA from 1 species
GCAGUGGUUGUUCAGUGGUAGAACUGCUGCCUUCCAUGUGGGAGACGCGGGUUCAAUUCCUGGCCAAUGCU